AAGCAAGUUAAGAUGGUUCAGGUUGUUUGGGAUUGCGAUGGGGAAGAGGAAACUACUUGGGAGCCAGAAUCAAGUAUGAAAGAAAAGUUUCCUAAGUGGUUUGAGAAGCAACCAAAGCAGAAGAAAGAGCCGAGGAAGAGUAGAGACUCGAGGACGAGUCUCACCAUAAGUGGGGGAGACUUGUAACACCCGAGUUCGGGAAAAUCUGGGAAAAAUCAGAAAAAUGGGUUUAGUCGGGUGAAACUGGAUUCAGUCGGGUGAUUCCGAGCUAAGUCCA
rnacentral:lncRNA from 1 species